rnacentral:rRNA from 1 species
GACGAACGCUGGCGGCAUGCCUAAUACAUGCAAGUCGAGCGAAUGACGAAGAAGCUUGCUUCUUCUGAUUUAGCGGCGGACGGGUGAGUAACACGUGGGCAACCUGCCCUGUAGAUUGGGAUAACUCCGGGAAACCGGGGCGUAAUACCGAAUAAUCCAUUUCCUCUCAUGUGGAAUAGUUAAAAGACGGUCUCGGCUGUCACUACAGGAUGGGCCCGCGGCGCAUAGCUAGUUGGUGAGGUAACGGCUCACCAAGGCGACGAUGCGUAGCCGACCUGAGAGGGUGAUCGGCCACACUGGGACUGAGACACGGCCCAGACU